UAGUUGGUAGGGUAACGGGCCGUACCAAGGUGAUGAUGCAUAGCCGAGUUGAGAGACUGAUCGGCCACAUUGGGACUGAGACACGGCCCAAACUCCUACGGGAGGCAGCAGUAGGGAAUCUUCCACAAUGGACGCAAGUCUGAUGGAGCAACGCCGCGUGAGUGAAGAAGGGUUUCGGCUCGUAAAGCUCUGUCGUUGGUGAAGAAGGACAGGGGUAGUAACUGACCUUUGUUUGACGGUAAUCAAUUAGAAAGUCACGGCUAACUACGUGCCAGCAGCCGCGGUAAU
rnacentral:rRNA from 1 species